rnacentral:rRNA from 1 species
UCCGUAGGCGGUGCGGCAAGUCGGAAGUGAAAUCUCUGGGCUUAACUCAGAGGCUGCUUCCGAAACUGCCGUGCUCGAGUGCGAGAGAGGCAAGUGGAAUUGCGGGUGUAGCGGUGAAAUGCGUAGAUAUCCGCAGGAACAUCCGAGGCGAAAGCGGCUUGCUGGAUCGCAACUGACGCUGAGGGACGAAAGGCUAGGGGAGCAAACAGGAUUAGAUACCCUGGUAGUCCUAGCCCUAAACCAUCAGGACUUGGGGUUUGCCCUGUACGGGCAAGUCCCGGAGCUAACGCGUUAAGUCCUGCGCCUGGGGAGUACGGUCGCAAGGCUGAA